UUCUAGGGCCAUGCCACCCUGAACAUGCCCAAUCUCGUCUGAUCUUGGAAGUUAAGCAAGAUUGGGCCUGGUUAGUAUUUGGAUGAGAGACCACCUAGAAAAACCAGGUGCUGUAGGCA
rnacentral:rRNA from 1 species